AAGGUGCCACAAGUACUCCUUUUCUUUUUGCGAAUACAGACUAACACAGCUGCUACUCUGAAACCUGAUGAACUAUAAUAACUGAAAUAAAUUUCUGAGAUGUACAGAAAUUUACUCUUGGCCAAAAAAUGUCAAAACUGUUGGAGGUAGGUUGUAUUUGAAUACUGGACUGACACAGAGUAUACAAUAACUCUAGCCAAAAAAAAAAAAAAGUCUUGAAAUGUAUUCCACUUUAUCCUUCGAUUACAUUUUUAUUUUAGGGCCCUUUAGAUUAGUGCCAAUUUUUAGUCAGAACUUAGCAUUGACUAGUUUCAGCAUAAUGACUUGUACUUUAUUAGCUUUCUUCUAUGAUAUUACAUGUUUAAAUCUUACAAAUAUAAGUCAGCGGCUGUGGAAGUCCCAGGGAACAUAUUUUAUUUCAGAAACACCAUGUGGCAGUCUUGCGGAAAUGACUUUUUCUUUGGACUUUCCACUUUGCAGGAAAUUACAAAAAAAAAUUGGUUUCAUUCUGAAUCACAACGUAACCAAAUUUCAAAAUAUCAAAAUUUCCCCAAAAUUAAAAAUCCCAAGUUUUGGCCAUCUCCACUCAAGUAAUCUGGAUUCAGUUCUUGGUUCUCCUGAAGAUUUUAUGUGCGACUUUGGGCAAAACACUUGCAGUGGAUUUUCAAGAGCAUUUAGAAGUCAAUGGUAAUUUUACUGUUGAUUUCUGUGGUAGUGGAGCUAAGCAAAUGCUAAGUAUUUUUGAAAAACACCAGUGUCUCUGUGCCUCAAUUCCCCAUUUUCGCACCCUUUGUGUUUCUUGUCUAUUUACAAUGUAAUCUCUUCUGUGCAAGGAUUGCUAUGUAUCUAUGUCUUACUAUGUGUUUGUAUGGCAUAAUGGUACUCCGGUCUUGGUGGACCCUCUAGGUACUAUUAUAAUGCAAAUGAAGAAAUAACAACAAUUGUAGUAGUAGUCAUGAAGGGCUUAAUUAUGCCUUAGUGCUGGGUCAGCUGGGAGACUGGGUGGUGGAAUUACAGCUGCAUGGAUCCAUAGAGGUGAUGCAGUCAGCAAAUGUAAGGGUCAAGGCUGCAGUACCUCCCAUGGAGUUACUCCCCCUUCAUUUGGACAGACUUCUCCAACAGAGAGCUCAAGUACUCAGCUGGGUGUUGAGUCCAGGUUUUACCAUUAAGAUUGAGCAAAUUCACUAAAUUAAGCACUUGGAGAGAGACAUGGUAUAAGAACACAGACAGACAGAUCCGUAAUAGAACAAAACCCUACAUCCUCUUUACACCUCUUCAGUCCCCAACUCUUAUCCAUCACAAUUGCACAUAUGGCUUAUGAGUCAACAGGAGUCCCCAACUAGUUAUCAAAUUGCACUAGUGAUCACAGAACGAUCAAUUCACCUUGUCUAGCAAAGUGAGUCUUUCAUAUAUUGCAAUAUCGAACAGAUCAUUGAUCCAAGUGUCCAUCCAAAGGGAUGCAAAGUAUUAGCUUCUUAGCUGUCACUGAUCAAGAAAUUAUUUUCCUGACUUUGAAGUAUAUAAUUUUGCAAACAUAAUGCUCUCAACAUUUUUGGUAUGGCAUGUGUUUAAAUUGUAUAGUCAAUUGCUUGACCACAUUUUGGUUCUUUGUUUUUUUUUUAAAUGAAAUAUACUCAAGAGACUAAAUAACCAAUGUUAGUCAGGCUUAUUAUUAUGUUACAGGGAAAAGGUUCUGUACGAUGCCAGUGUCAAAGAGCAUCAAUGUUACAUUCACCUUAUAUGGAAGAUAUGCCCUGCAAAGUUACAUCCCUAAAACCAUCUUUUUAUAACCUACUUAUUUACCAGUAAAAGAUACUAUAUACUUCACCUGAAACUGAACUCAAUCUACUUUUUACCUUGUUUGUUUCUGGUACCAUGGUGUACCCCUUUAUCUUUUGUUCUGAACCAGGCAUUUCAGGUCAUGAUGUAGCCUUAUCUUUGUUCUGAGCACAUGCAUUCCAGGUACUAAGAGGCAUGAAGACACCUCCUAGGCCUGUACUAGAAUAAAUAGGUUUGUGAGGGUAACUCCCUUUCUGUUGCUAUGAAGCAACUAUUGUAUGUCGUGAUACUGACAGUUUUCCUAUCUACUUAAGCCAAAACUUCCUCCAGCUAAUGCAAGUUGUCAUAGAAUACUUAGCAUAAGUGAACAGGAUUACAAUAAAGGUACAGGCCUAUAUAACUGAUAUUAAUACUUAAUAUGUAUACUUAAAUGCUUGGAAUAUAUGUGGUAGGAAGUAUUAUCAGCAUAAUAUAUAGGUAUGCUAGCCAGCAUAUAUUAGUCAACACAUGUAUAAUAUUAAAUUAUGUUUAUUUUGUGGUUACAACAGUUGUGAAUAGGAUAAGUGAAAUGAGAGUAAAUAUUCUGAGAGUCUACCUUACAAGUGCACAUGGGUAUUAAGAUGGUACUUGUGGAGCACUUAUUCUCAACAAUUUGUCUAAAAUCUCUUAAGCAGACCUAAUGAGCUCCUAUAACUUUAUCUCCAAAUUAGAGGCCUAUGACCUGGGUUUCUUUUGGAACAAACCAUUACCAAGUCCUUAAGUCAGGUGCAAAGAAACAAAAAAAGUUUUUUGUUUGUUUUUUUUAUUAUGAAUUAUUAUUAUUAGGCUGUCAUCCCCUUCAGGCAGAUCCUCUGCAAGAAGGCUGCUGAGGGAAUACAGAAGAUACAUGGGGAGGGAAUGGAGAUGAGCAAGGAGCCAAGAGGAACUGGAGAGAUGUCAGAGGACCAAAAGGACAUAGAUGGAAAGCAGGAGAUGGAGAGGAGACAGGAGGGCUUGAUAUUGAUUUUGCCAUAUGUUCCAUGGAGUACACAAGACAACUAGAAUUGAGCCUAAGAGCUACAUGUUUCUGACCUCAAUCCAAACCAGCAGAUAUAUACAAAAGCAGACAGAUUUGUUACUACAUUGUGUCCUUUUUGUCUUGAUUAUGUGGAGACAGAUUGAGUCUUUCUUACGCACACACACACACACAGAGCAUUAUUGCUUUUUUGUUUGUUUUCUUAUAAAACUGCCUUUUUUAUAAAGUUAAGUUAGAACUAUAAAUUUGAUAGAAGUACAGUAAAUAUUUUUACAAAUGAAAAUGUUUUAAAAUGUAUAUUAAUUAUAAAACAUUAACAAACAACUCUGGAAAAA